GACGAACGCUGGCGGCGUGCUUAACACAUGCAAGUCGAACGGAAAGGCCCUGCUUUUGUGGGGUGCUCGAGUGGCGAACGGGUGAGUAACACGUGAGUAACCUGCCCUUGACUUUGGGAUAACUUCAGGAAACUGGGGCUAAUACCGGAUAGGAGCUCCUGCUGCAUGGUGGGGGUUGGAAAGUUUCGGCGGUUGGGGAUGGACUCGCGGCUUAUCAGCUUGUUGGUGGGGUAGUGGCUUACCAAGGCUUUGACGGGUAGCCGGCCUGAGAGGGUGACCGGCCACAUGGGGACUGAGAUACGGACCAGACUCCUACGGUAGGCAGCAGUGGGGAAUAUUGCACAGUGGGCGGAAGCCUGAUGCAGCAACGCCGCGUGCGGGAUGACGGCCUUCGGGUUGUAAACCGCUUUGGCCUGUGACGAAGCGUGAGUGACGGUAAUGGGUAAAGAAGCACCGGCUAACUACGUG
rnacentral:rRNA from 1 species